rnacentral:rRNA from 1 species
UACGGAGGGUGCAAGCGUUAUCCGGAUUCACUGGGUUUAAAGGGUGCGUAGGUGGGUCUGUAAGUCAGUGGUGAAAUCUCCGAGCUUAACUUGGGAACUGCCGUUGAUACUAUCUGUCUUGAAUAUUGUGGAGGUGAGCGGAAUAUGUCAUGUAGCGGUGAAAUGCUUAGAUAUGACAUAGAACACCAAUUGCGAAGGCAGCUCGCUACACAUAUAUUGACUCUGAGGCACGAAAGCGUGGGGAUCAAACAGG